UUUGAUAAAACUGGGGGAGGGACUAUCGACAAUAAAGACCUUAGAAGCCUCAUCCCUUGCUUGGGGGACCAUAUCACAGAAGACCAAAUUGGCGAAAUGAUAUCAGAUCUUGACUUAAACGGUGAUGGGGAAAUUAGCUGUGAAGAGUUACUGGCGUCUAUGAGAAGAGAAUGUCAAAGCAACAGUGAAAAACAGUAGAGAACGUCAAGGCAAUCUCGUUCGUAUCGUGUAUAACUCUGGCAGGGACACCGGUUGUUGACUAUGCAAACCACAUGAGAUUUCUAUUUCCCUUUCAAAGAUAUCAUAAUAUCUGAAAUCGAAUACAUGUAUUGUCGAGUAAUUCCAAGAUAGAUUCCAUUAGUACUAGUAUUCCGCAAUAUUAUGUUAAAUCACUCGAUCACUCAAAAAUAUCACUUUAUUAUUCAUCCGCAAAUAACUUGAUGUUAACAAACGCCACGUGUUCGCAUUACCAUCCCCAUGUAUAGUUUUAUAGUCACUUCUUUUUAUUGCAUCAAAUCGACAAGAUCGUACUAAUAAU